rnacentral:rRNA from 1 species
UACGGGGGGAGCAAGCGUUGUUCGGAUUUACUGGGCGUAAAGGGCGCGUAGGCGGCCUGUGCAAGUCAGUUGUGAAAUCUCCGGGCUUAACUCGAAACGGUCAACUGAUACUGCUCGGCUAGAGUGCGGAAGGGGCAACUGGAAUUCUUGGUGUAGCGGUGAAAUGCGUAGAUAUCAAGAGGAACACCUGCGGCGAAGGCGGGUUGCUGGGCCGACACUGACGCUGAGGCGCGAAAGCUAGGGGAGCGAACGGG